rnacentral:rRNA from 1 species
GACGAACGCUGGCGGCGUGCUUAACACAUGCAAGUCGAACGGAAAGGCCCUGCUUUUGUGGGGUGCUCGAGUGGCGAACGGGUGAGUAACACGUGAGUAACCUGCCCUUGACUUUGGGAUAACUUCAGGAAACUGUGGCUAAUACCGGAUAGGAGCUCCUGCUGCAUGGUGGGGGUUGGAAAGUUUCGGCGGUUGGGGAUGGACUCGCGGCUUAUCAGCUUGUUGGUGGGGUAGUGGCUUACCAAGGCUUUGACGGGUAGCCGGCCUGAGAGGGUGACCGGCCACAUUGGGACUGAGAUACGGCCCAGACUCCUACGGGAGGCAGCAGUGGGGAAUAUUGCACAAUGGGCGGAAGCCUGAUCCAGCAACGCCGCGUGCGGGAUGACGGCCUUCGGGUUGUAAACCGCUUUCGCCUGUGACGAAGCGUGAGUGACGGUAAUGGGUAAAGAAGCACCGGCUAACUACGUG